CCUACGGGAGGCAGCAGUGAGGAAUAUUGGUCAAUGGGCGCGAGCCUGAACCAGCCAAGUAGCGUGAAGGAUGACUGCCCUACGGGUUGUAAACUUCUUUUAUAAAGGAAUAAAGUGCGGCACGUGUGCCUUUUUGUAUGUACUUUAUGAAUAAGGAUCGGCUAACUCCGUGCCAGCAGCCGCGGUAAUACGGAGGAUCCGAGCGUUAUCAGGAUUUAUUUGGUUUAAAGGGAGCGUAGAUGGGUUGUUAAGUCAGUUGUGAAAGUUUUGGGCUCAACCGUAAAAGUGCAAUUGAUACUGGCAGUCUUGAGUACAGUUGAGGUAGGCGGAAUUCGUGGUGGAGCGGUGAAAUGCUUAGAUAUCACGAAGAACUCCGAUUGCGAAGGCAGCUUACUAAACUGCCACUGACAUUGAUGCUCGAAAGUGUGGGUAUCAAACAGGAUUAGAUACCCGAGUAGUC
rnacentral:rRNA from 1 species